CUUAUACUCCAUCCGUUCCAAAAUUCUUUUCUUAGCUUUGUCUAAAAAUGAAUGUAUCUAAAUACUAUAAUUUGACUAGGUACAUUCAUAUAUAAACAAACCUAAGACAAGAAUUUUGGAACGGAAGGAGUACAUA
rfam:Hordeum vulgare subsp. vulgare, WGS project CAJW01000000 data, contig: morex_contig_75030